rnacentral:rRNA from 1 species
AUGUCGAUGAAGACCAUGUUCUCGGUGCUCCUGCUAUGUAUGCUUGUGGCAACACCCAUAGCGGCCGAGUACGGCGCAUGGAGCGAUAACAGUGGUCCCUGGAUGUGCUAUCCCGGGUAUGCCUUCAAGGUGCCCGCGCUCCCUGGCUGUCGUCCAGUGCUGAAGCUCCAGUGCAAUGGCAGCCAGGUGCCCGAGGCUGUCCUAAGGGACUGCUGCCAGCAGCUCGCCGACAUCAGCGAGUGGUGCAGGUGCGGUGCCCUCUACAGCAUGUUGGACAGCAUGUAUAAGGAGCAUGGCGUGCAGGAGGGACAGGCGGGGACAGGCGCGUUCCCACGCCGCCGGAGGGAGGUGGUGAAGCUGACGGCGGCGAGCAUCACAGCGGUCUGCAAGCUACCAGGGUUGGGGCCACUGUUGUGCAGAACGUGCGGCCCGCACAGGGCCCAAUUUUUUUUAUAUAAGACUAUAUACCAAACAUUAGGAAUUAGAAGCAAGGGAUAA